GUGUAUGUGCCUAUGAGUGCAGUGUGCAGAGGCCAGUAGAGGGCAUCAGAUCCCAUAGGACUGGAGUUACAGGCCAUUGUAAGCUUCCUGGUGGAGAUGCUGUGAACUGGACUCAGGGCCUUUGCCUUAACCACUGAACCAUCUCUCUAGCCCUAACUUGGGCAGUUCCUAGUUUAAGAGCAGAAUCUAGAGUCUGUGCCCAAGGAAUGUAAAGUCGCAGAGCUCGGGUGCAGGGUAAUGGAGAUCAGUACUGCCAAGCUGGAAAACGAAGCUUCUCCUACGCCUAAGGAGAAGGAUGGAAGUGGGUGUCUGAUAAAAACAACAUGGUUUGUAAGUGGGGGAGCUGUGAGCUCAGCAGGGAGCCCACGGGGAGCCCGACUCCCAGGCUUCUCUUCCAGUUGCCAUGCGGGUUGCCUCAGGUUUCAGGGGUUAGGACCUCACAUCUGGACCAUGGUUCUGAAGCCAGAACCUUACCUGAGCUUCCCUGGGCUGGGAUCAAGCUGACCGCAGGCUGGGUUCUGGACGCCAAGGGAGGCUCCUCCCUCUGCUCUGCCCAGCAUCUAGAGUCGCCUCCUGCUUUUGGCUCAUGCCCCAUCCUGUCGUCUUUGAAGUCAGCAACAGCGGAGCAGGUCCUUUUCCUGCUGGUUUCUCCGAGCUCCUUUCUGCCCCUUAUUUCUCUUCUGCUUUUAUGGACGCAUGACACCACUUUGGGAACAGCUCGGUAGCUUUCCCACUUCAAGGGCAGCUGACUAGGUACCUUCAUUGCCUUGGUAAUCCCAAGUCCCUUUUGCUGUGUGUAGUAAUUGGCUUUCAGUUUCUGUGACAAAGUGCCCCAGAAAUGGAGGUUCAAAAUCCAAACAGCACGCCAUUGGCUCUAGAGAUGCUGCCUCCCUCCCACCCACCACCACCACACACACACCGUGUUGCCUCAGGGUAGAGUGUUGUAGUAGACCAUGAAGAAGGGUCUAAUCCCACAUCCAGACUGAGAGAUAGAAACCAGGGAGGGCUCUCUUGAGAGCAGUUAACUCUGGUGGCUACUAUCAUUCUUUCUAAAAGAUAGUACCCCAAUGCCCAGAUUACCAAGUGCUAUCCCAUAAUAGUCCUACACCACCUCCAAACUCUGAGGCCUGUGUUUAUAGUACACAACCUUCCUUGAGUCACAGUCAUAUUACAGCCCAUGGUAGCACCAUGUAACAUCAUCACAAGCUUUGAGGAUGGGGACAGUGACGUGUCUAAGGGGGACUUUUCCUCUAUUAACCACAUGCAGGUGGAGGUCAGGACCUAGGGCCAACUUGAACCUGGACAUAGGAAGGACUUGGGUAUGAGGAAGUUCUGUUAGCUCUGUGUUGCUGGGAUCAAUCAACUUGAAGGAGCAGAGGUUUACAUGACCCUGUGGUUUUGAGAAAUUUGGGCCUGUGGCUCUUGGGCCGGGGAUUGGCACAGCAGGAAUGUGUGCUACAGGGAACUGUUCACCUCCUGGUGGCAGAGAAAAACGAGGAUCCAGGUUCACUAUGGAGGAUCCAGGUUCACUAUGGAGGAUCCAGGUUCACUAUGGCUUCUGUGCCCGCACCCAAAGUCCUAACUUCCUCCAGGCAGGCUCCUACAGGUCCCAGCACCUGCUGAUGAUGCCAAAGAGCAGUAAGCAAACCUUCACCUUGGCCCUGAGUCGAUGGUCCUGCUGCUGCCCGAGCUGUCACCUCCAGAGUGGCACAGAAUUUAUUUAUUUAUUUAUUUAUUUAUUUAUUUAUUUAUUUAUUUAUUUAUUUAAGUGGGCCUUUGGAGACCUUUAAAAUCUAGACUAUGAUGUAAAGGGCCUAGUAGAGACCAUAGCUGGACCAUUUGCGUGCCCUGUCCUAUGCUGGUAGCCCUGCCUUCGGUGCUGCUGCCCCUUACGGGACAGUGGCAGCAUCCUUGCCCUUCAAGACCCGCCCCUCUUGAGAAAAGCGCCAGUCAGGAAGCAGGCGCACCCUGAAAACCUGUCCAAGUAUACACAAAGAGCGCGCAGACCCUGAGCAUUGCGCCAGUGCUCCAGCAGUGAGCCACGUGUUUGACAGUGCUCCCCACUCAGGCACUGCAGAGUUUCUCAUUCACAACUGUGGCCCCACCACCCUCCCUCCCCAUCCAGCCUGGCCUGGGGGGCAGCCACACUGCUGUCUCAGAUGCGGGCAUCUCCUCAGACCUGUCCACCUUACAGACUUGUGGAGCACAUCCCCAGAGACUUCCAGCUCUAGGCCCAUUACUGGAGUCUGUCACCCAGAAAAUCUGUUGACAGGACCAUUCUCUCUCUGAACUGCAAGCAAAUUGGGGGAUUUGAAUGUUAUGCAAUGAGACUGCAGUAAGCCUGAGCCUCCGAGUCCUGCCAUUCGGGGAACGGCUCUGCUCCUGGCCACACUUCCCCUCUGCCACUUCCUGAGCUGUCACCCUCCAGGGUGGCCACAUACAGUAUUUAUUUUUUUUAAUUAAGCCAUAUAGCCAUGUGGCUUGGCCUCCACAGAUGCUUUAUAAAGCCGGGCCUUCUAAGUCCCUGGAAGUUUUGGUUUUUUUUUGUUUUUUUGUUUUUUUUUUUAGCAGAUAGAUAGUAAAAUCAGGCAGUUAUUAGUAUUCACAAGCAACGCUUGUGGCAGCUCCACACACGUAAUGAGAAGCCACCUGCAGUUCAAAGCAGGGCUUGAUAAUGCUGUAAUUAGAUUUGAGAUGCAAAAACGCUCAUUAAAAUUAAAUAACAUAUUUGUCACUGUUUUAAGAGGUACACAUUGCCUAGACCCACGCUGGUCUCUUGACCUUGAGUAUUUUGGUGGAGUCCUUGCUGCCAACGAUUCCAAAGCAACAGCCGCAGUCUGCAGAGUCCCCAAAACAUAGCAGCCCUCAGCGCUGUUUGUGUUGAAAAAAAAUUAGAUAGAGAUCCAAGGGAGAGCAUGGAUUCUAACAGAGUGUUCUGGAAGGAGACAGUAGGAUUCUCUCAUCAAGGAGUUCAGGCAGCCACGGAGAGCAGUACAUGUAGGUCAGAUGGUUGAAUGGGUAGGGCUUAGUCUCCCACAGGAUGGGGGAGGCACCGUGGAGGGGGUCUGCAGGAAGCAGUGGCAUUGGCUAUCACUGGUCAACCAUGUCCAGAGGAAGCUCAAGACAGCUCAGAAUCAGAUUGCUAGUAUUUCCCAAGGGCCCCCAGCGUGCUGUGACUAUGAAGAAUCUGUUGGGGAGGAAAGCAGGACACAGCCUGGAGGUCAGGUGCCCGAGGUACAGUUUAUGCUAUAAGUUCAGGCAGUAGCCAACUUAGUAGCAGGUAGCCAUGGGUGGGGCAGGCAUCGGGGCAGGCACUUAUCCCACAGGCUAUGACGCAGUCCACAAGGUCCCCUGUUCCUUCAGGGGUUUAGCAGGCUUACUGGAAGUUGCCCAGCCAACACCACGCAGAUGAAACAGAAUUCAAAUCCGGGCUCCCCUGGAUCCUCUGAGCUUAUCACAAAAUAGCUCAGGAAGGAUGAUAGAGCAGAGAAUCCUGGGUAGUGGGAGGGACAAAUGUGUUUACUUAAGGGUACCAGCACUCGAUCUGAUUGCCCGCUAUUUCCUGGAUCCCGUUCUAAAGUACUCCAGUCUGUGAACCAUCCCAGCCCUACUGCAAUGGCUACUCAAAUGUACAGACAAGCAAGGGAAGGUUUGCUGACGUCUUCUCAUAGAGAAGGGAAAAUUGAGCCAAUAUUGAUACCCCUCCAUCCAUUCCGAGUCUCCAAGAAUGCCAGGAGAGUGAUCCUGUCUUCAGAUUCUGAACUGCAAAGCCAAGCUUUACGCCAACCAGGAACUGCAGGGUCUUGUGAGAAUCUCACAUCGGCAGUGGCACGUAUAAAGGUGAACUUCUGGAGGUGCUGAGCUGAAGCUGUGGCUCUUAGCCUGGGUGGUUUGUAGGCAGCAGCCCCACCUGGCUUUCUCUUGGUGUGGGGGCUUGCGUGCAAUCCCCCAAUUUAUCUCAGGAGCUCCCAAGUAGGCAGAGCGGGACUUGGGGCAGAGAUGAGAUCUCAAACCUUCUAGAAGUCCUCUGUUCCCCCAAAAAGUUCUCCUUUCCAAACCUCCCAGAGCCUGUGCCCUCUAUGCCUGGCAUGGAGAUGCUACCAGCUGGUGGCAGGGGUGGGGGGCAGCAAGAGCUGAGCCAUGGCUGCAGGCUGCAGGCUGGCACCCAGAGCCUGGGGCAUGGUCCAAAGCCUGACUGGGUUACUCAGGGUCAGGUGAUGGCCAGCCUUCUCCCUUCCGCCCACUGCCAGCCACACCUGACCCUCACUUCUCUGCUCUUCUGCUCAGAAUCUCUCAGAAGACUUCAAGGCACGCGUUACCCAGUCGCUAGAACUUAUGCAACGUCUGACUCAUGACCACCAGAGGUCACUGUAACAAGGUAGAACACAGGUGUUCCAGAGUCUUAAGUCCGCUGCCUGAAGAAAGCAAAAGGAAAUCAGGAAAUCGGAAUAGACACCCCCCCCCCCCAAACGCUCAUGCACGUGGACCUCAUCCCCUAACUCCUUUCCACGUGUGGGUGGUCCACCAGGUGCACUGUUUGGCAGAGCCAAGAGAUGAACCCACUCAGGACAUUUGACUCCCACGGUCCCUUGUAAAGGUCCCAGGGUGUGUUGUGUUCCUGAUGCCUGAGGGUCACUCUCAGCUUUUAUACACAAACUGAGGGCUGCAUUCUCUGAGUCCCUUUUCUUGUAGCAGUUUUAGGGUGAGGAUGAUUCAGAUGUGGCUAGUCUGGUUUAUCUCCUCCCCACCCCCUCUAUGUGUUCCCCAAGGCAAACGGGCUAAUCGGUCAACAGUGCAUGAAAUCCUA